ACCCGCUGAACUUAAGCAUAUCAAUAAGCGGAGGAAAAGAAACCAACAGGGAUUGCCCUAGUAACGGCGAGUGAAGCGGCAACAGCUCAAAUUUGAAAUCUGGCCUCUUUUGGGGUCCGAGUUGUAAUUUGCAGAGGGCGCUUUGGCGUUGGCAGCGGUCCAAGUUCCUUGGAACAGGACGUCACAGAGGGUGAGAAUCCCGUACGUGGUCGCUGGCCUUCGCCGUGUAAAGCCCCUUCGACGAGUCGAGUUGUUUGGGAAUGCAGCUCUAAAUGGGAGGUAAAUUUCUUCUAAAGCUAAAUACUGGCCAGAGACCGAUAGCGCACAAGUAGAGUGAUCGAAAGAUGAAAAGCACUUUGGAAAGAGAGUCAAACAGCACGUGAAAUUGUUGAAAGGGAAGCGCUUGCAGCCAGACUUGCCUGUAGUUGCUCAUCCGGGCUUUUGCCCGGUGCACUCUUCUAUAGGCAGGCCAGCAUCAGUUUGGGCGGUUAGAUAAAGGUCUCUGUCAUGUACCUCUCUUCGGGGAGAACUUAUAGGGGAGACGACAUGUAACCAGCCCAGAUUGAGGUCCGCGCAUUUGCUAGGAUGCUGGCGUAAUGGCUGU
rnacentral:rRNA from 1 species